AUGGGCCUGCGGCGCAUUAGCUAGUUGGUGAGGUAACGGCUCACCGAGGCGACGAUGCGUACCCGACCUGAGAGGGUGACCGGCCACACUGGGACUGAAACACGGCCCAAACUCCUACGGGAGGCAGCAGUAUGGAAUCUUCGGCAAUGGACGGAAGUCUGACCGAUCAACGCCGCGUGAGUGAAGAAGGUUUUCGGAUCGUAAAACUCUGUUGCCCGAGAAGAACGCCAAGGAGAGUAACUGCUCUUUGGGUGACGGUAUCUGAGAAGAAAGCCCCGGCUAACUACGUGCCAGCAGCCGCGGUAAUACGUAGGGGGCAGCGUGUCGAAUUAUUGGGCGUAAAGCGCGCGCAGGCGGUCGUUUAAGUAUGAUGUUUAAACCCAGGGCUCAACCCUGGGUCGCAUUGGAAACUGGGCGACUCGAGUGCAGGAGAGGAAAGUGGAAUUCCACGUGUAGCGGUGAAAUGCGUAGAGAUGUGCAGGAACACCAUGGCCAAGGCGACUUUCUGGCCUGUAACUGACACUGAGCGCGAAAGCGUGGGGAGCGAACAGGAUUAGAUACCCUGGUAGUCCACGCCGUAAACGAUGAAUGCUAGGUGUCAAGAGUUUCGAUACCCUUGGUGCCGAACUUAACACAUUAAGCAUUCCGCCUGGAGAGUACGGUCGCAAGACUGAAACUCAAAGAACUGACGGGACCCGCACAAGCAGUGAGUAUGUGGUUUAAUUCGAAGCACGCGAAAACUUACACGUCGUGACAUCCUUGCUCCUCUAGAGAUAGAGGUUUCCUUUGGGACAGAGGAGACACGUGGUGCACGGUGGUCGUCAGCUCGUGUCUUGAGAUGUUGGGUUAAGUCCCGCAACGAGCGCAACCCCUGAUGCUAGUUGCCACCACUUACUUGGGCACUCUAGGAUGACUGCCGGUGACAAACCGGAGGAAGGUGGGGAUGACGUCAAAUCAUCAUGCCCCUUAUGACCUGGGGUACACACCUACUACAAUGGCCGGUACAACGGGCAGCGAAGGAGCGAUCUCGAGCGAAUCCCAAAAAGCCGGUCUCACUUCGGAUUGCAGGCUGCAAAUCGCCUGCACGAAGUCGGAAUUGCUAGUAAUCGCGGAUCAGCACGCCGCGGUGAAUACGUUCCCGGGUCUUGUACACACCGCCCGUCACACCACGAGAGUUUACAACACCCGAAGUCGGUGGGGUAACCCGCAAGGAGGCCAGCCGCCGA
rnacentral:rRNA from 1 species